rnacentral:rRNA from 1 species
GACGAACGCUGGCGGCGUGCUUAACACAUGCAAGUCGAACGGAAAGGCCCUGCUUUUGUGGGGUGCUCGAGUGGCGAACGGGUGAGUAACACGUGAGUAACCUGCCCUUGACUUUGGGAUAACUUCAGGAAACUGCGGCUCAUACCGGGUAGGAGCUCCUGCUGCAUGGUGGGGGUUGGAAAGUUUCGGCGGUUGGGGAUGGAUUCGCGGCUUAUCAGCUUGUUGGUGGGGUAGUGGCUUACCAAGGCUUUGACGGGUAGCCGGCCUGAGAGGGUGACCGGCGACAUUGGGACUGAGAUACGGCCCAGACGCCUACGGGAGGCAGUAGGGGGGAAUAUGGCACAAUGGGCGGAAGCCUGAUGCAGCAACGCCGCGUGCGGGAUGCCGGCCUACGGGGGGUAAACCGCUUUCGCCGGUGACGAAGCGUGAGUGACGGUAAUGGGUAAAGAAGCAACGGCUAACUACGUG